rnacentral:lncRNA from 1 species
CUUGAUCUAUGUUUGCUUAAUUUGUUCGCUACAAUAAAGUUUGUGUGGGUUGGGUUGGGAUGGACCUGACCUGGAUCCCCUGAAUUAGCCAGAUCAGGCUGGGCCUGGGUCUGGGUCUGGGUCUGGGUCUGGGUCUGUGGGUCCACCUUGUGUCAGGUCCUGUUCCCCACCAAUAUACUUUUAGGUUAGGUCUGGCUCAAUCUGGACCUGACCCGAUUGCACAUCUAGGAUUGGAGAUGCAUUUACGUUGGAGAUGCACAUCUUGGGUCAUAGUUGUACUAUAGGUUUGGGUACUAGUUAUCAGUUCAGGGGUGUCAUUAAGUAAAAUCUUUGGCUUUUGAUGUCGAGCCAUGUACCUGAGACAAUAGAUUCAAUCCCUUAUUCUCACAUCUUAUAGCCUGUUGGUAGUUUUGAGCAGGCAAUGCUACACCUUCAUUUCUUGCAAGUUGCAACCUUUAGCCAGUCUUGAGGAGUGGGAAAUUCUUGCAACGAUGAGGCAUAAAAAUCAGUGAACAAGUUUUCGAUUUUGUGGUGUGACAAGUAGCAGCUUGAUACCUAUCUUUUGGGGUGUUGGGAUUUCACUAUGGCAGAGAUGAUUUGUGAUUUUGAGUUAGCUUAUGUAAGAUGAAGUGACUUUUAUUUUUUUCAUUUUCCAAGUCUAGUUAGCUCCAUAGGUUUGAGAGGAUUCAUAUGAUUCUAGAGAUCGUUAAUUGGAUAUUGGAGCCUUUCAAGAACUUGGUUAGGCUGCCCACGGGUUAAAAAGCAUGCAGAGGGUUUGGUUCUACAUUGGGGAUCUUUUGACCUUGGCCUUCCUAAAUCCAAGGCUUGAUGAAAAGACGUGUUUUGAUAAAAACUCACCGACCAAAUUCGGUUUCUGAUGGACAACAAAAUUUGUUCACUUCAGUUAGUUUGAUAUGAGAACUGGUGAGAGGUUGGUGGUGGUGGCGAGGGGACACCUCCAAAUAAAUUGGGUCAUGCUUUGGCUGGAUCCCGAGCUAAUACCGAAGAACUGUAUAUCUGCGUUGUAUGGCUGGAUCCCGAGCUAAUACCGAAGAACUGUAUAUCUGCGUUGUAUGUUAUUAUAAUGAUAGCGAGCCCUGAUGGAUGUGUUUCCACGAGAACUCUGAAGUGUAUUUAUGGAGGAAUAUUA